ACGAACGCUGGCGGCGUGCUUAACACAUGCAAGUCGAACGGUGAAGCGCCUUCCUUUUUGGUGGGUGUGGAUGAGUGGCGAACGGGUGAGUAACACGUGAGUAACCUGCCCCCUUCUUCUGGAUAACCGCAUGAAAGUGUGGCUAAUACGGGAUAUUCUGGGUCUGUCGCAUGAUGGGUCUGGGAAAGAUAUUGUUUCGGUGGGGGAUGGGCUCGCGGCCUAUCAGCUUGUUGGUGGGGUGAUGGCCUACCAAGGCGGUGACGGGUAGCCGGCCUGAGAGGGUGGACGGGCACACUGGGACUGAGACACGGCCCAGACUCCUACGGGAGGCAGCAGUGGGGAAUAUUGCACAAUGGGCGCAAGCCUGAUGCAGCGACGCCGCGGGAGGGAUGGAGGCCUUCGGGUUGUGAACCUCUUUCGCCAGUGAAGCAGGCCUGCCUCGUUUGUGGGUGGGUUGACGGUAGCUGGAUAAGAAGCGCCGGCUAACUACGUG
rnacentral:rRNA from 1 species